GCAUUGAUGGUUCAGUGAUAAAAUUCUCACCUCCCAUGUGGGAGACCCAGGUUCAAUUCCUGGCCAAUGCA
rnacentral:tRNA from 1 species